AGCGGCGGACGGGUGAGUAAUGCCUAGGAAUCUGCCUGGUAGUGGGGGACAACGUUUCGAAAGGAACGCUAAUACCGCAUACGUCCUACGGGAGAAAGCAGGGGACCUUCGGGCCUUGCGCUAUCAGAUGAGCCUAGGUCGGAUUAGCUUGUUGGUGAGGUAAUGGCUCACCAAGGCGACGAUCCGUAACUGGUCUGAGAGGAUGAUCAGUCACACUGGAACUGAGACACGGUCCAGACUCCUACGGGAGGCAGCAGUGGGGAAUAUUGGACAAUGGGCGAAAGCCUGAUCCAGCCAUGCCGCGUGUGUGAAGAAGGUCUUCGGAUUGUAAAGCACUUUAAGUUGGGAGGAAGGGCAGUCAGCGAAUACCUGGUUGUCUUGACGUUACCGACAGAAUAAGCACCGGCUAACUCUGUGCCAGCAGCCGCGGUAAUACAGAGGGUGCAAGCGUUAAUCGGAAUUACUGGGCGUAAAGCGCGCGUAGGUGGUUUGUUAAGUUGGAUGUGAAAGCCCCGGGCUCAACCUGGGAACUGCAUCCAAAACUGGCAAGCUAGAGUAUGGUA
rnacentral:rRNA from 1 species